rnacentral:rRNA from 1 species
UACGUAGGCAGCAAGCGUUUGUUCGGAGUUACUGGGCGUAAAGAGUGCGUAGGUGGUGCCCUAAGUCUGUUGUGAAAUCUCCCGGCUUAACUGGGAGGGUGCGGUGGAAACUGGGGUGCUUGAGUGUGGGAGAGGUAAGCGGAAUUCCUGGUGUAGCGGUGAAAUGCGUAGAUAUCAGGAGGAACACCGGUGGUGUAGACGGCUUACUGGACCACGACUGACGCUGAGGAGCGAAAGCGUGGGGAGCGAACAGG